rnacentral:rRNA from 1 species
CUACGGGUCGCUGCAGACGAGAAAACUUUGCAAUGUGCGAAAGCACGACAAGGUUAAUCCGAGUGGUUUCUGCUAAAGGAACCUUUUGUCGGUCCUAGAAACACCGAUGAAUAAGGGGUGGGCAAGUUCUGGUGUCAGCCGCCGCGGUAAAACCAGCACCUCAAGUGGUCAGGAUGAUUAUUGGGCCUAAAGCAUCCGUAGCCGGCUCUGUAAGUUUUCGGUUAAAUCUGUACGCUCAACGUACAGGCUGCCGGGAAUACUGCAGAGCUAGGGAGUGGGAGAGGUAGACGGUACUCGGUAGGAAGGGGUAAAAUCCUUUGAUCUAUUGAUGACCACCUGUGGCGAAGGCGGUCUACCAGAAAACGUCCGACGGUGAGGGAUGAAAGCUGGGGGAGCAAACCGGAUUAGAUACCCCUGUAGUC